rnacentral:rRNA from 2 species
GUGCGGUAGGAUCAUUA